CUCUCUACUUUCGCUUUUGAGGAGAGAGGACGUGUUUUCGCGAUGCUGUUCGCUGUGAUAGAUAAUGGAUAGCCUGCUGUAAAUAAAGCUGCUUUUAGCUGCCAAGAUCCUGAGUGGACUUCAUUUAAGCACACUGAAGAAUGCACUGGAGUGUUUUGGUUUCCUCAAGCCGCUGACGAACUCUGCUAUGCUCAGAAGUAUCGGAAUGUGCCCUUUGGAAUGCAGAGGCCUACGCAAUGGGGGAAGCGUGCCGGACGCUUAUCUGAGCAAUAAAUCAAGAUAUCUCAGAGGUUAUGGGGGCAGGUAAUGCAAUUAGAGGAAGCCUGCUUUGAUGUGCUGUGUGCUUAAGAAGGCUGGAAAACUGAGAAGCUGUUGUUUUGCUGCCGGAAUGCAAAAGUCCUGCUUUGAGGCUUCGCCUGGGAGAAAAGCUGCAAAGCUGGCUGCAAAGCUGUGUGCUGCAAGGAGCCACUAGAGGCCUCUCCUUUGAAGCUGGCUGGUACGCGUGAGUACUUCAAAGCAGCCCCAAUGGAAGCACUGGGGGAGGAGAUGGCUGAGCUCCAGGACUUUUAUGAUGUCCCGUUUGAAAAGCUCACAACCCAGUCCUGGGAUAUCUGGGUUAGAAGAGUCAGGGGGUGGUUUUUGGCCACAGGGUUCUGGGAUAUAGCCCAGAAGGAGCCCGCCCCACCCAUGCCAGUUGCUGCUGAAGAAGGAGGAGCAGAAUGGGAGGCUGCUCUCCUGGAAGAUAGAGAGCUGAGAAUGCAAAGGGAGCUCUGCAUGUUGAGAGCAAGCGUGGACGCUAUGCUGUUGCCCCACCUGGAGGGCAUUGAGUCGGCUCAGGCCGCCUGGCAGGUGCUGAGGAGUCUGUGUGAUAGCUCAGCAGGAGCCCAGGGCCUGGAGAAAGCCGAGAGCAGGCAGGAAGCUGAGAGCCCAGAGGGGGCUGGCCAUGUUCCUAAAGUUACAGCUGGGAGUAGCUGCUUUGUCUCCGAGGGGCCGUGUGAUGUUGAGGCCUACAACCAGAGUGCUGGGGAGCGUGCAGGCCCAGGCUGUGCACCCAAAGGUGGGGGUGCAGGGAACAAAGAAAUGGCUGAAGAGGGAGCUGUGAGAGCUGUUGCUACGCGUCGCCGCUGUUAUCGCUGUGGCUCCCCCUCCCAUCUGGUGAGAGAAUGUCCAGUGGAGGAACAGCCCAAGGCCGUCUCCCGUAGCAACCAGAUAAAGAGCUCUUCUUCAAAGCGUGGGAAAGGCAAGCCGAAGGCAGCUGGCAGAGACACUGAACGUAAACAAUUGGCUGCCUCUAUGGCUGUAGUCAAAAGUUGUCAACAGGAUGCUGAGCUGGCUUUUGUGGUCGACAGUGGAGCAUCUCAUCACCUGGUGCCAUCUGGUGGAUUCCUGGAGAACUGCACCUCUGUAAAAUCUGGGAAGACUGUCUGUUUAGCAGAUGGGACUCGACACCCACUCACGCAGAGUGGCUCACUGUUUUGUUCUUUCUUGCAGGACUCAAUUCAGGCUUUUGUUGUUCCAGGACUGUCCUGCGCGUUGCUGUCUGUCAGUGCACUUCUUGCUGAAAACUACAGAGUGUGUUUUGAGAACAAUAAGUGUUCUAUUUCCAAGAAUGGACAGCACCUAGUCAGUGUCGAAUGUAAAGACAGGUUGUUUGUGAUAAAUGCUUCUUUUGCAGGUCCAGAUGACACGGAUGACACGGAGGAGGCUCAAGCGCAGUGUGCCAAUGUUCCAGUUCAUGAUGCGUGUGCCCAUCUCUGGCACCGACGUAUGUCACACGUUUCGUGGGGGUCGGUGAGAAGGAUCCCAGAGUAUACGCAAGGGUGCAAAAUGAAAUCAUGUGCUAAAUUUCUAGAUUGCAGAGCGUGCAAGUCCGCAAAGGUGAAAACGUGCACAUACCCUAGGUCUGAGAGGGUGACCACUAGGGCUUUUCAAUUAAUUCAUGCAGAUUUGUGUGGACCGUUUUCUGUGAGCAGUUUGGGCGGAGCCAAAUAUUCGCUGGUUCUGAUUGAUGACCAUACUAGGAAUUCUUGGUGUUUCACAAUUCGGCGCAAAGAUGAAGCUGCGCCGCUAAUCAAAGACUGGAUUGCGGCUGUGGAACUGCAGUUUUCCACACGGGUGCAAAACUUUCAGAGCGAUCGCGGUGGGGAGUUCACCGGGUCUGCACUGCAAAGUUUCUUCCGCAAAAGGGGAUUCAACACAGGUUGACUUCUCCACACAGUCCCCAACAGAAUGGGAUCGCGGAACGCAGAAACAGGACUCUAGGGGAGAUGUCCGCAGCUCUUUGUUUGAUGCCGGGCUCCCACAGCGCUUUUGGGGGAGGCUUGGCGACCGGCCAACUUUGUUCUGAACAGGUCGUUCAAUUCAGUGGUAGGUGACACACCGUACUUCUUGCUCCAUGGCGAGAAACCGAAAGUGCACUACUUCCGCGUUUUUGGCUGUGAGGCUUGGGUCCCCAUACCAAAGGCCAAACGCAAGAAAGGUGAACCCAGGUCCCAAAAGAUGAUUUUUUGUGGGUAUGAGCCAGGGACCAAGGGGUGGAGGUUUGCUUAUCCGUCAGGGAAUCAGUCCAGGAUUCUGCUCAGCAACAGUGCUGAAUUCUGUGAGCAGAGUGGCUGGGCAAGGAUACAUGGGAACCCUGACAUCCUGUCAGAGAGUCUGCUAGACUCUGCUGAUGAAGGAGAGGAAGAGGUUGAACCUGCUACUGAGGCUCAGAGUCCAGGCCCAGUGCAGGCAGUGCUCCAUCUUCCCCCACAGGUUCGGCUGAGAAGUCCAGAAGGCGCAGUAAGUCAGAGGGGAGCUCUCUGAUGCCAAGGACGUUCUAGCUGGCCCUAGUGGGUCAGAGGGGUUCCUGAAGUAGUGCUGCGCCGUUCAACGUGGACGACCAAGGGAAACCUCCUGAAAGGUUUGCCGUCACUAGUGUGUGGGUCGGAAUGGCACAGUGUGAACCCGAGAGUUUUGAGGAUGUUCAGAAACUGCCUCAAGAAGAAGCCAGGAAAUGGCAUGAGGCGAUGCAGAAGGAGAUGAACUCAAUGGAGUCUCUAGGUGUGUUCUCCCUCACGAAGUUGCCGGUGGGUGAAAAGGCAGUGGGUAACCGCUGGGUUUACCGUCUUAAGCCCACAGCGACAGGAGAACCGCAGUAUAAGGCCAGAUUAGUGGCGAGAGGAUUCACGCAGCAGAGGGGUUGCAUUAUACGGAGAGUUAUGCGCCCACGUGUAGGAGUGAGUCUCUACGCUUGGUCUUGGCCAUCGCUGCACAAAGAGGUUUGCUGGUGCAUCACUUUGAUGUGGAUGUUGCUUACUUGAACUCAGACCUCCAGGAGGAUCUGUACAUGCUUCCUCCUCCUGGGUUUGAGGGCAAUGAGCGAGGUACUGUGUGGAAACUUCACAGGUCAAUUUACGGCCUGAAGCAGUCGGCCAGGAAUUGGAACUUGUGCCUGAACGAAGCUUUGGAGAAGCUAGGUUUCAGGAAGAGUCUUGCUGACAGUUGCCUGUUCCUUAGAGGAUCAGGAGACUCACAGGAACUGGUGUUGUUUUACGUUGAUGACAUCAUCCAUGUUGGAAAGGCAGACAAACAGGUGCAGAAGUUUGCCAAAGAGCUUGGGAAACGGUUUCAGCUCAAGGACCUGGGUGCAGUAAAGAUCUACCUAGGUGUCCAGAUAGCGAGAACUGAGGAUGGUAGCUUCUUGCUCAGUCAGAAAGGCAAGAUUGAGCAGUUGCUGGAGAAGUUCAGAAUGUCCGAUUGUGCAGGAGUUCGGACACCCAUGGAGACGAACUUCGUGAAAGAUAGCCAGCAAGCAGAGAGUGCUGAGUUUGAGAAUGCUGAGCUCUUUCAGUCAGCUCUAGGUAGUCUGUUGUAUCUGUCCCAAUGGAGCAGACCAGACAUUGCCUUUGCUACCAACCUGCUAAGUAGGGAAGCGUCAAAGCCCAGUGUGAGUGCUUGGCACGGUAUCAAGCGGGUACUGCGCUACCUGCAGCAUACCAAAGACUUCUGUCUUAAGCUGCCAGCUGAAGGUGAGGCGAAGCUCACAUGCUAUGCGGACAGUGACUGGGCGAAUUCGCAGGACCGCAAGUCUGUGUCUGGGUUGGUGAUUAAGUUUGGGAAGUCACUAGUUGGGUGGAAGUCCCGGAAGCAAAGUCUCAUUGCGCUGUCUUCUACUGAGGCUGAAUUCAGUGCACUGUCAGACUUGUGCCGAGAACUUGAGUUCUAUAGAUGCUUGGUGCAAGAGAUCUAUGGGGAUUGUAGCUUGUCCAUCACGGUUUGGGAAGACAAUCAGCCUUGUUUGAAGUUGGCUGAAUCUGCGCAAUUUAAGGCGAGAACCAAGCAUCUGGACAUACGUUUCCAAAAUGUGUGUCAGAGUGUUCAGUCAGGUUUGAUACGACUGAAGUACUGUGCCAGUCACAGUAACCUGGCCGAUGGAUUUACCAAACCUUUAAGCUUCCAGCGUCAUGGGGAGUUUUGUGGUGGUUUGGAGUUGGGGGUAAGUUCUGUACUCACUUUCCCCACAGUAGCGCAGGGCGAGAGGGGGUGUGAGGAGAACCUGAGCUUACAGGGUUAAACAGCUCAGACUGUACGCCCUGCCUACAGUUGGGAGGGGGGAGCUACGUCAGUUCCGAGAGACUAAAGUCUUUGUUCUGUCUCUCUACUUUCGCUUUUGAGGAGAGAGGACGUGUUUUCGCGAUGCUGUUCGCUGUGAUAGAUAAUGGAUAGCCUGCUGUAAAUAAAGCUGCUUUUAGCUGCCAAGAUCCUGAGUGGACUUCAUUUAAGCACACUGAAGAAUGCACUGGAGUGUUUUGGUUUCCUCUAGCCGCUGACGAACUCUGCUAUGCUCAGAAGUAUCGGAAUGUGCCCUUUGGAAUGCAGAGGCCUACGCAAUGGGGGAAGCGUGCCGGACGCUUAUCUGAGCAAUAAAUCAAGAUAUCUCAGAGUUAUAUGGCUUUAGUAGAAAUGUUAUAAGGAAUUAAGUACAGAUAGGUUAAUAGAGCAUUAAAGGAAAAAAUAAGGUUAGAAUGAGUUAAGAUAAUUAUAGGAUAGAAAACAGAGGAAGAUGGAAAGGAAUUGCUGAAAUAAUUAACAGAAGUGGAAUACAAAAAGGGAGGUGUGAGGAGGUCGUGGAAAUAAGUGAAUGAAAGAUGAGAUAACGAAAUUGUUUGAUUUAUUUUAUUGUUUUUGUUUUGUUUUUGUUGAUUUGUUGUGUUGUAUUGUAUUGUUUUUCUUUUUAAUGUCUAAGUUUUUGGAAAAAUAAUAAAUAUUAUUAUUUUUUUU